UACGGAAGGCAGCAGUGGGGAAUAUUGCACAAUGGGCGCAAGCCUGAUGCAGCCAUGCCGCGUGUAUGAAGAAGGCCUUCGGGUUGUAAAGUACUUUCAGUCGUGAGGAAGGUGUUAAGGUUAAUAACCUUAGCAAUUGACGUUAGCGACAGAAGAAGCACCGGCUAACUCCGUGCCAGCAGCCGCGGUAAUACGGAGGGUGCGAGCGUUAAUCGGAAUUACUGGGCGUAAAGGGCACGCAGGCGGUUAAUUAAGUUGGAUGUGAAAUCCCCGGGCUUAACCUGGGAAUGGCAUUCAAGACUGGUUAGCUAGAGUCUUGUAGAGGGGGUAGAAUUCCAUGUGUAGCGGUGAAAUGCGUAGAGAUGUGGAGGAAUACCGGUGGCGAAGGCGGCCCCUGGACAAAGACUGACGCUCACGUGCGAAAGCGUGGGGAGCAAACGAGGGAUUAGAUACC
rnacentral:rRNA from 1 species